rnacentral:rRNA from 1 species
UCAAAGCAUGAUAUCAUUCUGAAUGUGCCAGAUCUCAUUUGAUCUGGGAAGCUAAGUGGGGUUGUGCCUGGUUAGUACUUGAA